rnacentral:rRNA from 1 species
CAGCAGCCGCGGGAAUACGGAGGGAGCUAGCGUUGUUCGGAAUUACUGGGCGUAAAGCGCGCGUAGGCGGUUACUCAAGUCAGAGGUGAAAGCCCGGGGCUCAACCCCGGAACUGCCUUUGAAACUAGGUGACUAGAAUCUUGGAGAGGUCAGUGGAAUUCCGAGUGUAGAGGUGAAAUUCGUAGAUAUUCGGAAGAACACCAGUGGCGAAGGCGACUGACUGGACAAGUAUUGACGCUGAGGUGCGAAAGCGAGGGGAGCAAACAGGAUUAGAUACCCCUGUAGUCCCUGUCUCUUAUAC